rnacentral:rRNA from 1 species
GACGAACGCUGGCGGCGUGCUUAACACAUGCAAGUCGAACGGAAAGGCCCUGCUUUUGUGGGGUGCUCGAGUGGCGAACGGGUGAGUAACACGUGAGUAACCUGCCCUUGACUUUGGGAUAACUUCAGGAAACUGGGGCUAAUACCGGCUAGGAGCUCCUGCUGCAUGGUGGGGGUUGGAAAGUUUCGGCGGUUGGGGAUGGACUCGCGGCUUAUCAGCUUGUUGGUGGGGUAGUGGCUUACCAAGGCUUUGACGGGUAGCCGGCCUGAGAGGGUGACCGGCCACAUUGGGACUGAGAUACGGCCCAGACUCGUACGGGAGGCAGAGGUGGGGAAUAUUGCACAAUGGGCGGAAGCCAGAUGCAGCAACGCCGCGUGCGGGAUGACGGCCUUCGGGUUGUAAACCGCUUUCGCCUGUGACGAAGCGUGAGUGACGGUAAUGGGUAAAGAAGCACCGGCUAACUACGUG